rnacentral:rRNA from 1 species
UUCUGGCUCAGGAUGAACGCUAGCUACAGGCUUAACACAUGCAAGUCGAGGGGCAGCAUUGGGAUAGCUUGCUAUUCAGAUGGCGACCGGCGCACGGGUGAGUAACGCGUAUCCAACCUUCCUGCCAGUAGGGAACAGCCCGGCGAAAGUCGGAUUAAUGCCCUAUGUUCUUCAAUGCGGACAUCUAAGUUGAAGGAAAGAUUCAUCGCUGGCAGAUGGGGAUGCGUCCGAUUAGCUUGCCGGCGGGUAACGGCCCACCGGGGCGACGAUCGGUAGGGGUUCUGAGAGGAAGGUCCCCCACACUGGUACUGAGACACGGACCAGACUCCUACGGGAGGCAGCAGUGAGGAAUAUUGGUCAAUGGGCGUAAGCCUGAACCAGCCAAGUAGCGUGCAGGAAUGACGGCCCUACGGGUUGUAAACUGCUUUUAUGCGGGGAUAAAGUGCGGCACGUGUGCCGCUUUGCAGGUACCGCAUGAAUAAGGACCGGCUAAUUCCGUGCCAGCAGCGGC